GUUUCGGGAUGGGCGGGAAGGCUCCUCUCCUGGCGGGAGCGGUGCUUCUCUCCCGGGGCUUCCUCCUGGUGUCCCCCUCCCUCCUCGCCCGCCCUUCCUCGCCGCGGCCCCGCACUAGGUGUCGCGGCCUCAGGGACCGAGAAAGCGAGCGCGAGAUGCUGCUGCCGAGGAGGCGGCGCGAUCCCUGCGGAGGGCGAGUCUAGUGGCCCGCGCGGCCCGUGGGGGUCCACACCGCCCUGGCCACUCGCCUCGCCUGUCCCCGCCAGGUUCCCGCGUUCUUUGCCUCUUCCUAGACCGCCGCAGGGAAAGCCGCCGGGCUCCAGUCGCCCGGGCUCGGCGCGCGCCGGGGCACAGAGGGCAGCCACCUGCUCCCGGUGCGCUCCCGAGCCAGGGGAGCGUCGGCCGCGGUCGGGGAACGUCGGCCGUAGCCUGGCCCGCGCUGUCCCCACCGCCUCCCCUCCCCCUCCGGCUGCCUGUUGCUGCGGGGGCCAUCGCGGUGGUGGCGCGCCACACGGGGUGGAAGUGCUCGACCUGAGAAGAGGGGCUAGCUCUAGGGACUGCAGGAGGGACGGGGACACAGAUCUCCCCUUCGGCCCACCGUCCUCCUUUUGUCGAUGAAUCUAAGGAUGUUUGGCCGUGACUCUCAUCUUGCCUUUCUUUGGUCUUUCGGGUCAAGGGCGAGAAUCCCAAGGAGAUGGCAGAACUUUCCUAUAGAAGCUGCUGAUCAGACCCAUGAAACCACAGGACAAAAAGUUCUAUUCCAGAAGGAACAACAAGCAGGGGGAAAAAAAGUCAAUAUUCCUAGGUGGGAAAUGUCUGUGACUCUAAGCAACAAAACAAAGGAAACUCAAGACAACUAGAGAGGAACACAUGUAUCUGGGAACAGGCUGGAGCAGAGGAGUGGCAGCCUCGUCUUCUCCUUUACAAGUACCAUCCUGGGGGGAGGAGCACAUUUGCCCACACUUGGGGCCUGGAAAAAGGAUUAUCCCAACUGUAUGAAUAAGUCUCAUUUCCAGUCUCCAGAUGUUCAAGGCCACCAAGCCAAUGACAAUGAUGACGAUGAUGAUACUUUGUGCUCCGGAUGGAAUCCAUAGCUUUGUUCAUGCUAAGCACCAACCUCUACCCUGUUGAGAGCCACAGCCGAGUCAGAAUGACGCCUGGCAUAUUGCCAGAGGGAAUGGUUGAAAGAAACUGAAAUCCUGGAGCAAGAAGCAAAGCUUUCCAGAGGGCAUACUUCUGUAGGCCCACGUCUCUACUCACUGUGGAGCUGGCUCCUCCCAUUCCCUGUGUGUUGAGAACUCCUAAGCACUGUGGGCACUGGCCAUUCUGACCUGAAUGUGAAUUAUAGGGAGGGAUAAGCUAAAGCAACCCAAAGGAAAAGCAGAAAGAGGCAUGUGAGUAGGUUGCCCCUGGCUCUAAAUGGCUCAUGUUAAGUCUUGAGCCAGCUCCUGAUGGAAAGAUAAGGUAAAUCCCUAAUCAGUCAAUAAUUAACUGUAGCUCCAUUAGGGGCCCAGUCAGCCAAAUCCCGCUGACACCUUCAGAACCUUGCUUCAGUGGGAAGGGUCAGCCGAACCUUCUGAGAACCAGGCCCGUUUACUCGGCCCUCCACAGACCCACUCAAGGGGUAAAAGGGGUAAAGUUAUGCCUUGUCUGCCAGUGAAAUAUUUUCUCAGGUUAAGUCCUCAGGGUAACUUCUGGAAAUUUCCCAUUUGGAAAUCUCAGCUGUGUGUCUAACACAGAACAGCUUAGAUACCUGUUCUGGUUCUGGGGCACUUUGAAUCAAAUCCCAGAUGUGUUCUGACUGUUGCAACCUUAUUCUUCUUCCAGCCUCACUCAUCUUAGUUUGUGGUUUAUUCCCAGUAUCCCGAGACAUUCUGGACCCCUGUUUUCUUCAGUGUAUGACAAAAGCAAACAUGGCUUUUGAUGUAAGAAGCAACUACACAGCCCCACCAAUGCAUGACAAUAAUUUUUGAAUUUUAAAUCUGUAAGAAAUUAAAAGAUUAAUACAUAUUUGAUUUGGCAGUUGGUGGAUCAAGGUUAUUUUUACUUCCUAUAGAAGCAAAUUUGGGGGAAGGUAGACUUAAUAUUUUCACUUUAAAUUUUUGGUUUUUGUUUUUCUUUGCCUUGUUGUUCUAUGUGGCAUUUUUUUUGGUAUCAUAAGCAGUAGUCAAAUAUACCAAUCUGGUUUGAAUUUUUCCUGAGGUCAAGUUAUAGGUCAUGAACAUUGUCAAUCAAUGAACUUUGCUUCUAAUUUUAACUGUUAAGCCACUUGGAAAAAUGCACUUUUAGAUACUGGAGGAAUGGGGUACAAGAAUGUGGUUUGAUGUGAGUCCAUUUCUGUCAGAAGAAAAAUGACAAAAAUCUUAGGUUUGGUGGCUGGACCCCCAGGAGUGAUAUUCCUGUGAUAGAUCAUGUAGCUCCUCUUCUGUUGGUUCUGGGUCCCAGCCUCUGUAAUCACCAAUACAUCAUUGUUCUCUCCUCAGAAAGCCCAGUAGUCUGGGUGCUCAAUUAAUCUUUGGCUGCUUGGGGGAAUUGCCAAUGAGUGAAAAUUCUGCCAAUGAUCUGUGACACCCUUUUGAACAAACAUUAAUUGAAUGACAUUUCUUUUUUUUUUUUCCUCCCCCAAAUCAUCCAUCUGUCCUUUCUUAUGCAACUUUUAAGUUCCAAAAGGGUAGAAAGCAAGCUUUCUUUCAAUCACACAUUUGGCUUAAGAAGACAAUCUAUACAUCAGACAAUAUCUAAUCUACGGUAGCCUUGUAAGUAUGUCUAGAUAUUCAUCAGCCCAAACCAACAUACUAAAUAUAAAAUAAAUUCAAUUCAGCUUUCCUUUUUCUGUGUUCAUUCAAACUUCUUGCUUUUAUGAAGGCAGUCAGUAAAAAAUCAGAGUCAAUGUUGGUCUAUGCUUUUUAAUCACUUUGGGAUGCAAGAGGCGUGAGAAAGAAAGGGAGAAACAGUGAAAAAAAAAUUAAG